rnacentral:rRNA from 1 species
GAUGAACGCUGGCGGCGUGCCUAAUACAUGCAAGUCGAGCGAACAGACGAGGAGCUUGCUCCUCUGACGUUAGCGGCGGACGGGUGAGUAACACGUGGAUAACCUACCUAUAAGACUGGGAUAACUUCGGGAAACCGGAGCUAAUACCGGAUAAUAUAUUGAACCGCAUGGUUCAAUAGUGAAAGACGGUUUUGCUGUCACUUAUAGAUGGAUCCGCGCCGCAUUAGCUAGUUGGUAAGGUAACGGCUUACCAAGGCAACGAUGCGUAGCCGACCUGAGAGGGUGGUCGGCCACACUGGAACUGAGACACGGUCCAGACUCCGACGGGAGGCAGCAGUAGGGAAUCUUCCGCAAUGGGCGAAAGCCUGACGGAGCAACGCCGCGUGAGUGAUGAAGGUCUUCGGAUCGGAAAACUCUGUUAUUAGGGAAGAACAAAUGUGUAAGUAACUAUGCACGUCUUGACGGUACCUAAUCAGAAAGCCACGGCUAACUACGUG